AGUGAACGCUGGCGGUAGGCCUAACACAUGCAAGUCGAACGGCAGCACAGUAAGAGCUUGCUCUUACGGGUGGCGAGUGGCGGACGGGUGAGGAAUACAUCGGAAUCUACUUUUUCGUGGGGGAUAACGCAGGGAAACUUACGCUAAUACCGCAUACGACCUACGGGUGAAAGCAGGGGAUCUUCGGACCUUGCGCGAUUGAAUGAGCCGAUGUCGGAUUAGCUAGUUGGCGGGGUAAAGGCCCACCAAGGCGACGAUCCGUAGCUGGUCUGAGAGGAUGAUCAGCCACACUGGAACUGAGACACGGUCCAGACUCCUACGGGAGGCAGCAGUGGGGAAUAUUGGACAAUGGGCGCAAGCCUGAUCCAGCCAUACCGCGUGGGUGAAGAAGGCCUUCGGGUUGUAAAGCCCCUUUGUUGGGAAAGAAAAGCAGCAGGUUAAUACCCCGCUGUUCUGACGGUACCCAAAGAAUAAGCACCGGCUAACUUCGUG
rnacentral:rRNA from 1 species